AUUGAACGCCGGCGGCAGGCCUAACACAUGCAAGUCGAGCGGCAGCACGGGUACUUGUACCUGGUGGCGAGCGGCAGACGGGUGAGUAAUGCCUAGGAAUCUGCCUGGUAGUGGGGGAUAACGUCCGGAAACGGGCGCUAAUACCGCAUACGUCCUACGGGAGAAAGUGGGGGAUCUUCGGACCUCACGCUAUUAGAUGAGCCUAGGUCGGAUUAGCUAGUUGGUGAGGUAAUGGCUCACCAAGGCGACGAUGCGUAACUGGUCUGAGAGGAUGAUCAGGCACACUGGAACUGAGACACGGUCCAGACUCCUACGGGAGGCAGCAGUGGGGAAUAUUGGACAAUGGGCGAAAGCCUGAUCCAGCCAUGCCGCGUGUGUGAUGAAGGUCUUCGGAUUGUAAAGCACUUUAAGUUGGGAGGAAGGGCAGUUACCUAAUACGUGAUUGUUUUGACGUUACCGACAGAAUAAGCACCGGCUAACUCUGUGCCAGCCGCCGCAGUAA
rnacentral:rRNA from 1 species